rnacentral:rRNA from 1 species
AGUGAACGCUGGCGGCAGGCCUAACACAUGCAAGUCGAACGAGUGGCGGACGGGUGAGUAAUGUCUGGGAAACUGCCUGGUGGAGGGGGAUAACUACUGGAACCGGUAGCUAAUACCGCAUACCAUCAGAUGUGCCCCGAUGGGAUUAGCUAGUUGGUGGGGUAACGGGUCACCAGGGCGACGAUCCCUAGCUGGUCUGAGAGGAUAACCAGCCACACUGGCACAUAGACACGGUCCAGACUCCUACGGGAGGCGGCAGUGGGGAAUAUUGCACUAUGGGCGCCAGCCCGAUGCCGCCAUGCCGCGUGUAUGAAGAAGGCCUUCGGGUUGUUAAGUACUUUCAGCGGGGAGGCGUUACCGACAGAAGAAGCACCGGCUAACUUCGUGCCAGCAGCCGCGGUAAUAC